AAGGGGGAGUAACACGUAGGUAACCUGCCUGGGAGCGCGGGAGAAAUAUUGGAAACAAUAGCUAAUACACCAUAUAAGAAUAUGUGGCAUGACACUUUUUUAAAAGGGGCAAUUGCGCCCCUCCCAAAUGGACCUGCGUUGUAUUAGCUAUUUGGUGAGGGGCGGCUCACCAAGGUAACAAUACAUACCCGACCUGAUAGGAGGAUCGGCCGCCCUGGAACUGAGACACGGCCCACACUCCUCCCGGAGGAAGCAGUAGGGAAUCUUCAUCCUUGGACGAAAGUCUGACCGAGCAACAACGCGCGAGGGAAGAAGGUUUUGGUAUCGUAAAGCUCUGUUGUUGAUAAGAACGAGUGUGAGAGAGGAAAGUUCACUGUGCGACUGGCUCUUACCAAAAGGACAGGGCUAUCUUUCUGCCUGCACCCGCCCUCCACGUUUGUACCGAUUUUCGCCGUUUUUAUGUAUUGAACGCGCGCAGAGGGCGUUUAGUAGAGAAAACAGAUGAGGCGGGGCAUCAACAUAACCCCCCGCGCUUCCGUUGUAUUUAACUGAGUGGGAUCGCUAGAUCUGAUUUCUUGCGCAGCCUCGCAUGAUAUGGGUAAACACCAAGACAAGAGGUGCUUCUGUUUUGUAUCACUGUGUCCUGACUCUAAAGUGUGGAGA
rnacentral:rRNA from 1 species